CGGCAGGCUUAACACAUGCAAGUCGAGCGCCCCGCAAGGGGAGCGGCAGACGGGUGAGUAACGCGUGGGAAUCUACCCAUCUCUACGGAAUAACGCAUGGAAACGUGUGCUAAUACCGUAUACGCCCUUCGGGGGAAAGAUUUAUCGGAGAUGGAUGAGCCCGCGUUGGAUUAGCUAGUUGGUGGGGUAAAGGCCUACCAAGGCGACGAUCCAUAGCUGGUCUGAGAGGAUGAUCAGCCACACUGGGACUGAGACACGGCCCAGACUCCUACGGGAGGCAGCAGUGGGGAAUAUUGGACAAUGGGCGCAAGCCUGAUCCAGCCAUGCCGCGUGUGUGAUGAAGGCCCUAGGGUUGUAAAGCACUUUCACCGGAGAAGAUAAUGACGGUAUCCGGAGAAGAAG
rnacentral:rRNA from 1 species